AGGACGAACGCUGGCGGCGUGCUUAACACAUGCAAGUCGAGCGGAAAGGCCCUUCGGGGUACUCGAGCGGCGAACGGGUGAGUAACACGUGAGCAACCUGCCCUUAGCUCCGGGAUAGCUCCGGGAAACCGGAAUUAAAUACCGGAUACGACCACAGCCGACAUCUGCUGUGGUGGAAAGGAUUCCGGCUAGGGAUGGGCUCGCGGCCUAUCAGCUAGUUGGUGGAGUAACGGCCCACCAAGGCGACGACGGGUA
rnacentral:rRNA from 1 species